rnacentral:rRNA from 1 species
CCUACGGGUGGCUGCAGUGAGGAAUAUUGGUCAAUGGGCGCAAGCCUGAACCAGCCAUCCCGCGUGAAGGAUGAAGGCUCUAGUAGUUGUAAACUUCUUUUAUAUGGGAAGAAACCUGAGUACGUGUACCCAGUUGACGGUAUCAUAUGAAUAAGCAUCGGCUAACUCCGUGCCAGCAGCCGCGGUAAUACGGAGGAUGCAAGCGUUAUUCGGAUUUAUUGGGUUUAAAGGGUCAGCAGGCGGGAUCGGAGAAAUCCUAUAGCUUAACGAUAGAACUGCCAUUGAUACUGUGAUUCUUGAAUGUAGUUGACGUGGGCGGAAUAUGACAUGUAGCGGUGAAAUGCUUAGAUAUGUCAUAGAACACCAAUUGCGAAGGCAGCUCACGAAACUAUUAUUGACGCUCAGGGACGAAAGUGUGGGUAGCAAACAGGAUUAGAUACCCUUGUAGUC